UCGGGUAGUUAAGUAUUCUGUCGUUCAAAAGGCGGCGGAGCUUGUGAUAGACCGCUACCUGAAACCACUGCAAAACCAAACUUAUAUUUGCAUUUAGGAUUGCAAAAUCAUAAAAAUCAAAAUAAGAAAAAGUGUCUAUCAGUUUUGACCGAAAGGUGUCUACAUAGUAAUGAGUUGUUCAUUGCCACAAACACUCUCAAGGUGAAUGUGAUUCUUUCGAAAGGUUUCUAACACCGCAAGUGUGAAUCUGCUCGGCAGGGUAGAAGAAAAUAAGUAAGAAGAGAGUAGGUUAAAACUCAAAGAGUGGUUCACUUAAAUAACCGACAUUGGUUGUUACAUCUCAAAAGGAUGUGGAAACAAAGGGAAUAGAUAAUCCUUUUAAAGACAACUACAAUAUGGUGUAUUCUCAGCCU
rnacentral:ncRNA from 1 species